ACCAAUGUGGUUUCUAUUGAAGCAUAAAGGCACCUAACCUUAUCCUUUGCUGAUUCACUCCUAAAUACACAAACACCCACCUUUAGCUCCUCUCCAAAAACCCCCAGCUCUGAUCUCUCUCUAAAUCGAAGAAACCGGCGUCGAUUCUCCGGUGAAACCCCACCCUUUUUGCUUCAGUCCAACCACCUGACACCCCCCCCCACACCUGGUAGAUUUAAUAGAGAAACAGAGAGAGGCCGAGCAGAAGAGGAUACGGAAGAAGGAGGGAGAACCGGCGGAGCCGAUGCCGUUGUCGACGGCGGCGGUGGUUCCGGUAACUCUCUCUCGAGUCACAGCAGCCGCGGGUCCUCGAUAAAACACCGUGUGGCCGACGAUUUGGUGGAUAUCAACAGCAAUAGUGGCGGCGGAGGUGACGUCCGGUCACCGUGAACAGUUUCCGGCGACUCUCAGGUUCCCUUGAUGACGGAUUUGGGUUCGUGAACGGUCCGAUUCAGAUCAACUUUAGGGUGGUUUGAGUCAGUUUAGUUCAGGUCAACACAGUCGAACCGGGUCAACUCAGCUUCGACUCGGUCAACGGUUCAAAACAGUCGACAGAAUGGUUCGGGUUCGCGACUCAGUUCGGUGUCGGGUCAGGCACACGACUCCGAUAGUGGUUUGGGUACACGUCGGUCAGUUUUACUCUAGAUCAAACAAGUCAGUUUGGUUCGGUCAAAAUCAACAGCUCUUGGUUUCGGGUUCGGUCAACUGGUCAACACGGGUCAACACCGAUCAACAGAAGUCAAGGAUGGUCAACUGGUCAUAGAAGACCCGGAAUGUCAUAGUUGCACGCUAGCUACUUCACGUUCUUGGAAUGACACUACGGAAGCACACUAAGUUAGCUUUAUACAGGAAUAUCAAGGUUGCAUUUUCAAAAAUAUGGAACGGUUGGAAUAAGAGAACCCAUGGUGAUUUGAGUACUUAGCGGGCGUUCACUGUUUAGAAGUCUUAGCUUACUUGCUUCCGCUGUGCAAUGAAGAUACCGGUCCAGUCACGCC